ACUGCUGGAUUCUGCCAGCUUCCAGCUUCCAUCCCUGAAAGUAUUUGAGAUGUGUGCACCGUCUCAUAUUUGAAUCCCCUUUCCUGUGACAAAUCUGAAAAACUUGGAUUUUUUUAUUUUUUAUUUUAUUUUUAAUCCCAUAUUCUGUCAUUCCUAACACACCUUUGGAAUUUUAAAUUUGGAGAAAAUGAGGAGGUAUGGCCAGAAUGACCCCCUCAGUUCAUGGAGAUUGCCAGAGUGGAUUAAAGGUAAAAGAUUCUUUGCUUUUGGUGUUAAACCAAAAAAUGGUAACACCUAUUUGAGAUUGGACUAUUGGCAGCAACGAAAGCCUGCUAAACAAUGUAAGAAAAACAAGGAAAGAAACUAACUGUUAAUAAAAACCCACUUAACUUCCACUAACGAGCUCAACAAUGUAUAUCCAUCCCAAGAAAAUACAAGCAGGACUACAUCUCCAACUCAUCUAUGAAAGGCUGAAAACCAAUCACCACCGUUAAGGGCCUGCAGUUCUAUAGAUAGCAACUCAUUUAUUCCUGCAACAACCUGCUACAGCCUACAGCUAGGCAAAGGUAGUGGAGUAAGAUAUGUGGGUCCACUAAAUUCGCUUAACAAUUGGAUGAAUGUAGUAAGUAGUAACUAUGAGUUGGUUCGAUCAUGUUGCUCCAUGGAUGGUGAUCUUUGACGCAACAUUUAGGUCUCAGGUGUGAUCCCAAUUUACCUA